rnacentral:rRNA from 1 species
UACAGAGGGUGCGAGCGUUGUUCGGAAUUAUUGGGCGUAAAGGGCGCGUAGGCGGUGCGGUAAGUCACCUGUGAAAUCUCCUGGCUCAACUGGGAGCUUGCAGGCGAAACUGCCGUGCUGGAGUGUGGGAGAGGUGCGUGGAAUUCCCGGUGUAGCGGUGAAAUGCGUAGAUAUCUGGAGGAAUACCGGUGGCGAAGGCGGCAUCCUGGACCGACAUUGACGCUGAUGAGCGAAAGCUAGGGGAGCAAACGGG